UAUGGGACACCAAAAUCGUCUGCUACAAGA
rnacentral:piRNA from 1 species